CUGGUUGUAAACAAGGGCACCUUCUGUGAUUUGAGGCUUCAUCUCAUCAUCAAUAAUGCCAGAUAUCUGAUGUGGUUGAUGAGGAAGUCUGCAAGCUGGAUGAAAAGUUCAAGGAAGGGAGUCAUGUUCGAGUUCAUGUUCGUGUUUUUGGCUUUAGGCAUCUAUAAGGAUUGACAAUGGAUGUUUUAAAGUGUUUCUAAUUGUCUUACAAAUUCCCUGCUUUAUCAUCAAACAGCUGACACUGGCACACUUCCUCUUCUCUGCCAUUAUUAUAUUAUGUCAAGGUAAAUUCAAGACAGAUCUGUGUUUUACAUGUCACAGCCACUCAGAACACAAUGAAUGGUGAUUUGGAGUGUGAGUUAAUUUUAACUGCUAACUAGUGCUGAUGCCUUUUACUGCUACACAACUCAGCAAAGAUCGACAGAAGAAACCAG